rnacentral:rRNA from 1 species
AGAGUUUGAUCAUGGCUCAGAGCGAACGUUAGCGGCGGGCCUAACACAUGCAAGUCGAGCGAGAAAGGGGCUUCGGCCCUGAGUAAAGCGGCGGACGGGUGAGUAACACGUAGGUAAUCUUCCUUCGAGCGGGGGACAACGAGCCGAAAGGCUCGCUAAUACCGCAUACGUUUCCUAGGACUCCGGUCCCGGGAAGGAAAGCUAGGUAGCAAUAUCCGGCACUCGAUGAGGAGCCUGCGUCGCAUCAGCUAGUUGGUGGGGUAACGGCCUACCAAGGCGAAGACGCGUAGCUGGUCUGAGAGGAUGAUCAGCCACACUGGGACUGAGACACGGCCCAGACUCCUACGGGAGGCAGCAGUGGGGAAUAUUGGACAAUGGGCGCAAGCCUGAUCCAGCCACGCCGCGUGAGUGAUGAAGGCCUUCGGGUCGUAAAGCUCUGUGGGGAGGGACGAACCGCUGCACGUGAAUAUCGUGCAGCAUGACGGUACCUCCUUAGCAAGCACCGGCUACUUUCGUGCCAGCAGCCCGGGGUA